rnacentral:rRNA from 1 species
AGUGAACGCUGGCGGUAGGCCUAACACAUGCAAGCCGAACGGCAGCACAGUAAGAGCUUGCUCUUACGGGUGGCGAGUGGCGGACGGGUGAGGCAUACAUCGGAAUCUACUUUUUCGUGGGUGAUAACGUAGGGAAACUUACGCUAACACCGCAUACGACCAACGGGUGAAAGCAGUGGAUCUUCGGACCUUGCCCGAUUGAAUGAGCUGAUGCCGAAUUAGCUAGUUGGGGGGGUAAAGGCCCACCAAGCCAACGAUCCGAAGCCGACCGGAGAGGAGGACAGGCCACACUGGACAGGAGACACGGUCCAGACUCCUACGGGAGGCAGCAGUAGGGAAUCUUGGACAAUGGGCGAAAGCCUGACGGAGCAAUGCCGCGGGAGGGAUGAAGGCCUUGGGAUUGUAAACCCCUUUUAUUGGGAAAGAAAAAAAGUGUAUGUAACCCUGCAGGUCUUGACGGUACCUAAUAAGAAAGCCCCGGCUAACUACGUG